rnacentral:tRNA from 2 species
UGGGAGAUCGUCUAAUGGUAGGACGACGGCUUCUGGAGCCGUCUAUCUAGGUUCGAGUCCUAGUCUCCCAG